AUUGAGUGGAAUGGUGGGUGAAAUCGUCCGUACUACAGGGAAACUGUUAACUGUCUAGUCUAUUACAAAACAUCUUUCGAGAUGCUGGAUUACAGUGAUGGGCAUUUGAGGAAGGUGGGGAAAGGGAGGGGACAUAAAAAUCUAUGGCUUCCUCUAGACAAUAGGAGAAAAGGCUGCGAGAAAAGAUGGCCAACCAUGGAGCUGUCACAUCAGAAGCACUCCACCAAAACUGGAAAGCAGAUGCAAAAUCAUGGGGCAUGGCUCUUCUGUUGAACAACACUGAUAGCAAAUGUUAGACCCUUGCAUAAAGUUGCUGACUGCUGUCUACUGAA